UAGGGAAUCUUCCACAAUGGACGCAAGUCUGAUGGAGCAAGGCCGCGUGAGUGAAGAAGGUUUUCGGAUCGUAAAGCUCUGUUGUUGGUGAAGAAGGAUAGAGGCAGUAACUGGUCUUUAUUUGACGGUAAUCAACCAGAAAGUCACGGCUAACUACGUGCCAGCAGCCGCGGUAAUACGUAGGUGGCAAGCGUUGUCCGGAUUUAUUGGGCGUAAAGCGAGCGCAGGCGGAAUGAUAAGUCUGAUGUGAAAGCCCACGGCUCAACCGUGGAACUGCAUCGGAAACUGUCAUUCUUGAGUGCAGAAGAGGAGAGUGGAAUUCCAUGUGUAGCGGUGGAAUGCGUAGAUAUAUGGAAGAACACCAGUGGCGAAGGCGGCUCUCUGGUCUGCAACUGACGCUGAGGCUCGAAAGCAUGGGUAGCGAACAGG
rnacentral:rRNA from 1 species